GAUGAACGCUAGCGGGAGGCCUAACACAUGCAAGCCGAGCGGUAUUGUUUCUUCGGAAAUGAGAGAGCGGCGUACGGGUGCGGAACACGUGUGCAACCUACCUUUAUCUGGAGGAUAGCCUUUCGAAAGGAAGAUUAAUACUCCAUAAUAUAUUGACUGGCAUCAGUUGAUAUUGAAAGCUCCGGCGGAUAAAGAUGGGCACGCGCAAGAUUAGCUAGUUGGUGAGGUAACGGCUCACCAAGGCGAUGAUCUUUAGGGGCCUGAGAGGGUGAUCCCCACACUGGUACUGAGACACGGACCAGACUCCUACGGGAGGCAGCAGUGAGGAAUAUUGGUCAAUGGGUGCAAGCCUGAACCAGCCAUCCCGCGUGAAGGACGACUGCCCUAUGGGUGUAAACUUCUUUGUAUAGGGAUAAACCUACUCUCGUGAGGGUAGCUGAAGGUACUAUACGAAUAAGCACCGGCUAAACUCCGUGCCAGCAGCCGCGGUAA
rnacentral:rRNA from 1 species